UAUAAUGGUCAAACUGUUUGCUGCCAGAGAGAUGCCUGAACUUUAGGAUUGUUAAAGUGAACCACUGUUCCUUGGUUUAUAAACAUAUCCACCUCUUCGAUACUAGAGAUAUUGUUUACCCCUAACUUCUUUAGGAGAACUGAAGUUUUUCAUCAUCUGCUAUGGCUAUUCUAUGAUCCACUUUCUUAUUUUGAUAAACCCAGUCUGAUUCCCUCUUAAAUUUGGAAGCCAUCUUGCCACAAAGGCAUAAAAAACUAAUUUCGGUUUUACUAUAAAUUACUGCAAAUUCUAAACUGCUUGGAAUGCCUGCCCGUACCUUGAACUCACCCAUGCCUAACUUUCCUUGACCAGAUAACAACCCUCUCUGAGGCUCUAAUGACCUUCAUAAAUUCUGAUGUCAGGACCAGCAAAAAUAUAAACUAGCCUCUGUGUUAUGCAAGUCAGGGUUUUGUUAUCUGUAACCCCCGCUUUGUGUAAUUUUCUGGGCUAUAAAGCUGCACUUCUAGAAAGCUGCGGGCCUGUCUUUGGCUCCCGUGGUUUUUGUUGGGAGAGGCAGCCCGGCCGUGGAAAUAAUAAGCUUGCUUUAAUUUGAUUUUAAUUGGAGUCAUGGUCUUUUCUUUGCUUCGUGGUCUAACAAUUCUGCAAGCAGUUCUUUUCCCACCACUGUGCACUUGUGCCUGAAGUUGGGCGAGUUGUUCCUGGUUCAUGAUAGUUUCUUUCAUCUUGUCAAGCAGAAAUGGGGCCACAUGGGGGACUGGGGUUGGUGUUCAGGAGAUCUCAUGUUGACCAGCUAAGAUUAGAGCACAUACGUCUUUUCUUACUCAAGUACUAUAGUAUACCUUGCCAAUUUUACCAAAUGACCAUGCUUCCUUCAGCAGUUCUAUCAGAUCUUUAAAAAUUCAUGCUAAAGAGAGAAAGAAGUUGGAAAUCAAU
rnacentral:lncRNA from 1 species